AUCGCUUCUCGGCUCUCUGUGAGCUAAGAUCAAGUGUAGUAUCUGUUCUUAUCAGUUUAAUAUCUGAUAUGUCCUUUAUUUGAGGACUAUAUUUUAAAUGGAUUUUUGAAACAGGGGGUUGGAAUAGGAGCUUGCUCUAUCCACCCCAUGCAUUGGCCUGGUAUUGCAGUGCCUCCAGGAGCGGUGCCUCUCCU
ensembl:snRNA U2 U2 spliceosomal RNA